CAAAGAAAAUGAAGACAACCUACAGAAUGGGAGAAAAUACUUACAAGUCCUGUAUCUGAUUAAGGACUUGUAUACCUUCUACACAGCCAAUGCAAGGGUUGAAGGUUCCCAAGAUGCUGUUCUCACUGAGAUCCAUGCAGAGGAAGGAUUACUGAACAAGAAGUUGCUAAUCAACCCCCAGAUGGCAAGGAAUGGCAAAAUACUCUCCCAACAGUGUUCAAAAGUCUGCACUGGAAAAUGUACCAGGGAUGUAGCUGGCCUUCUUACUGGGCAACAGUACCACUGAAGCACUGGGGGCAAGUUUCACAUCCAAUAAAUUCUUUUUAUACACUU